GGCCUUGUGGAGCAAUGGGUCACUGUGUCUGGCUGUUAACCAGAAGGUUGUUGGUUCAAGCCCUUCCAGGGGUG